GGAGACUCAGGCCCGCUCUGUCGCGGGAGACUAUCACAACACCUUGCAGAUUAUUUUUGCACGUAUGAGAAUCAACUCCUGGUUAUCCACUGUUGGAUUAUCCAGAGUCCUCACCAUCCUUCGCUUCUUUUUUCUUCUCCAUAAAGACCCUCUGGCCAUUUCACAGCUCAUUAGCACCUCCACCAGAAGGAAUCAGCCUUCUGUAUAGAUGCACCAUGUGCUGAAGGAUGCUGAGAGCGGAGUGCAGACGUGAGGACAACGGUCACAGAACGAGGGGCAGCGUGGGCCAGAAACACGUGAGAAAAAAAGCCAACGGGCUUAGCGAGAUAUCACCCUCCGUUUUGCCUAGAGCACAAGGCUAGUCUGCAGGAGAGGCCACAUGGAAGAGAACCCUGGCCAACAGACUGCCAAGUACCAAAAAUGCAGGCGAGGCCACCAUGGACCACCCAGCCCUGGCUGUCCCUCCAGCUGACUGCAGCCUCACAAGUGAGCCCAGCUGAGAUCAGCAGAAGAACUGACUUCCUAACUAAGUGCAUCUAGAUUUCUGACCAACAGACUUAUGUGCUAAUAAACUAUUUUAAGCCACUAA